AAGUCCUUACCCAAAUCUCCCCCCUCCCAGGUGCAGCUUCACCAGAAGAUCUUCCAUAACUACAACCUGAAGGCCCAGCCAGCCAAACACUGGGAGCAGAAAGUCUAGUAUGAGAAGAACGAGGCGAUGACAACCAACGAUGUCCAUGAAUAUGGCGUGGACAGACUACAGGCUAUCAUGGAAUCCAGAAGAUUAGAAUAAUAUAGAAGUCCUCACGAUUCCUCCCGACAAGGUGUGGCAGACUCCUGUCCUGCUCCGAAAUAGAAUAGCAUAGAACACGACCA
rnacentral:lncRNA from 13 species